AGAGUUUGAUCAUGGCUCAGAUUGAACGCUGGCGGCAGGCCUAACACAUGCAGGUCGAGCGGAUGAAGGGAGCUUGCUCCUGGAUUCAGCGGCGGACGGGUGAGUAAUGCCUAGGAAUCUGCCUGGUAGUGGGGGAUAACGUCCGGAAACGGGCGCUAAUACCGCAUACGUCCUGAGGGAGAAAGUGGGGGAUCUUCGGACCUCACGCUAUCAGAUGAGCCUAGGUCGGAUUAGCUAGUUGGUGGGGUAAAGGCCUACCAAGGCGACGAUCCGUAACUGGUCUGAGAGGAUGAUCAGUCACACUGGAACUGAGACACGGUCCAGACUCCUACGGGAGGCAGCAGUGGGGAAUAUUGGACAAUGGGCGAAAGCCUGAUCCAGCCAUGCCGCGUGUGUGAAGAAGGUCUUCGGAUUGUAAAGCACUUUAAGUUGGGAGGAAGGGCAGUAAGUUGAUACCUUGCUGUUUUGACGUUACCAACAGAAUAAGCACCGGCUAACUUCGUGCCAGCAGCCGCGGUAAUACGAAGGGUGCAAGCGUUAAUCGGAAUUACUGGGCGUAAAGCGCGCGUAGGUGGUUCAGCAAGUUGGAUGUGAAAUCCCCGGGCUCAACCUGGGAACUGCAUCCAAAACUACUGAGCUAGAGUACGGUAGAGGGUGGUGGAAUUUCCUGUGUAGCGGUGAAAUGCGUAGAUAUAGGAAGGAACACCAGUGGCGAAGGCGACCACCUGGACUGAUACUGACACUGAGGUGCGAAAGCGUGGGGAGCAAACAGGGUUAGAUACCCUGGUAGUCCACGCCGUAAACGAUGUCGACUAGCCGUUGGGAUCCUUGAGAUCUUAGUGGCGCAGCUAACGCGAUAAGUCGACCGCCUGGGGAGUACGGCCGCAAGGUUAAAACUCAAAUGAAUUGACGGGGGCCCGCACAAGCGGUGGAGCAUGUGGUUUAAUUCGAAGCAACGCGAAGAACCUUACCUGGCCUUGACAUGCUGAGAACUUUCCAGAGAUGGAUUGGUGCCUUCGGGAACUCAGACACAGGUGCUGCAUGGCUGUCGUCAGCUCGUGUCGUGAUAUGUUGGGUUAAGUCCCGUAACGAGCGCAACCCUUGUCCUUAGUUACCAGCACCUCGGGUGGGCACUCUAAGGAGACUGCCGGUGACAAACCGGAGGAAGGUGGGGAUGACGUCAAGUCAUCAUGGCCCUUACGGCCAGGGCUACACACGUGCUACAAUGGUCGGUACAAAGGGUUGCCAAGCCGCGAGGUGGAGCUAAUCCCAUAAAACCGAUCGUAGUCCGGAUCGCAGUCUGCAACUCGACUGCGUGAAGUCGGAAUCGCUAGUAAUCGUGAAUCAGAAUGUCACGGUGAAUACGUUCCCGGGCCUUGUACACACCGCCCGUCACACCAUGGGAGUGGGUUGCUCCAGAAGUAGCUAGUCUAACCGCAAGGGGGACGGUUACCACGGAGUGAUUCAUGACUGGGGUGAAGUCGUAACAAGGUAGCCGUAGGGGAACCUGCGGCUG
rnacentral:rRNA from 1 species